ensembl:processed_transcript
UAUAUAUAUAUAUAUAUAUCCAUCCUAUUCUAAGAGAAAUUAAUGGGGUCAGGGAAUGAUUUGUGUACAAAUGUAUUUUAACCCCAAACAGAUUGGUAUCGUUGUACCAUAGAUUUAGAUUAAUUAAUGUUAAGUCUUAUUUUACUCUUAUUAUAUUUAUCUGUUUUUCAGCUACAGUAAUUGAUGUUGAAAAACUGAUGCUACCAAUCACUCCUCACUUGAUUAUUCAAGCAGUUCCUAAGAUAAAAAAAAAAUCUGGUGUUAAAACAGCCACGGCUAUGCUAUUUGCCUACCAAGUGCUGACCCAGAUAGUGAUGGACCUGGAAUGCGACACCAGUUACUCUCAAGACAAGAACCGAAUAAAGCACAGAUGUGGAGGGAUUUGCAGCCAAACUAACUGGAGGGAAGGAACCUUUAG